AGCGGCAGACGGGAGAGUAACACGUGGGAACGUGCCCUUUGGUUCGGAACAACACAGGGAAACUUGUGCUAAUACCGGAUAAGCCCUUACGGGGAAAGAUUUAUCGCCAAAGGAUCGGCCCGCGUCUGAUUAGCUAGUUGGUGGGGUAAUGGCCCACCAAGGCGACGAUCAGUAGCUGGUCUGAGAGGAUGAUCAGCCUCAUUGGGACUGAGACACGGCCCAAACUCCUACGGGAGGCAGCAGUAGGGAAUAUUGGACAAUGGGGGCAACCCUGAUCCAGCCAUGCCGCGUGAGUGAUGAAGGCCCUAGGGUUGUAAAGCUCUUUUGUGCGGGAAGAUAAUGACGGUACCGCAAGAAUAAGCCCCGGCUAACUUCGUGCCAGCAGCCGCGGUAAUACGAAGGGGGCUAGCGUUGCUCGGAAUCACUGGGCGUAAGGGUGCGUAAGCGGGUCUUUAAGUCAGGGGUGAAAUCCUGGAGCUCAAUCCAGAACUGGCUUUGAUACUGAGGAUCUUGAGUACGGGAGAGGUGAGUGGAACUGCGAGUGUAGAGGUGA
rnacentral:rRNA from 1 species